GACGAACGCUGGCGGCGUGCCUAAUACAUGCAAGUCGACCUUAGUGGCGAACGGUGGAGUAACACGUGGGUAACCUACCCCUCAAACGGGGAUAACCCUUGGCAACAAGUGCUAAUACCGUAUACUGAUGGAUGUACCCGCGGUGCAUUAGCUAGUUGGUGAGGUAACGGCUCACCAAGGCCACGAGGCAUAGCCGGCCUGAGAGGGUGAUCGGCCACAUUGGGACUGAGACACGGCCCAAACGCCUACGGGAGGCAGCAGUAGGGAAUCUUCGGCAAUGGACGAAAGUCUGACCGAGCAACGCCGCGUGAGUGAAGAAGGUUUUCGGAUCGUAAAACUCUGUUGUUAGAGAAGCGGUAUCUAACCAGAAAGCCACGGCUAACUACGUGCCAGCAGCCGCGGUAAUUC
rnacentral:rRNA from 1 species